GGUUACCUCAGGUCAGAGAAGACUACCCGCUGGACUUAAGCAUAUCACUAAGCGGAGGAAAAGAAACUAACUAGGAUUCCCCCAGUAACUGCGAGUGAAGAGGGAAGAGCUCAUCAUUGGAAUCUGGCGGUGUUGCACCGUCCGAGUUGUAGAUGAGGAGUGGUUCGUCUGGACUGCAUGGCGUCCAAGUACAAUAGGCCGUCAGUGGGACAUCAUAGAGGGUGACRAUCCCGUCCUUGAUGCCRAUGUGCAAGUCCAUUACGAUGGCCAUCUCARAGAGUCGAGCAGUUUGGGAUUUGCUGCUUAAACAUGGGAGGUAGAUUCCUUCUAAAGCUAAAUACAGGCAAGAGACCGAUAGAGAACAAGUACCGCAAGGGAAAGAUGAAAUAGCACUCUGUGAAGGGAGUCAAAAGGCGUGAAAUUGUUGCGAGAGAAGCGAUUCAAGUCAGCGUAGCUAGGCCCAUUAAGCCUCUUUGCGCUUUGGACUAGCUUUGCCAGCGGUCUBGUCCUUAGAGACUUGACUUGUAUGUCCAGCCUGGUAUGCACAGGUAGCCCUCCGGGGUCAGUGACAUGGCUGGUGGAAUGGCUUGCAAUCGACCCGUCUUGAAACACGGACCAAGGAGUCUAACAUGUAUGCGAGUAUAAGGGUGGCAAACCCGUAUGCGCAAUGAAAGUGAUUUUCGGUGAUUGAGAAUGGCCUGAUGACCAGACAAGCAAUAUAUGUCCCUCGUACGGCCAUUGCCCAAGUUCCGUGGUAGAUCCCACGAACAUGGAGUUGGAGCAUACAUGCUAGGACCCGAAAGAUGGUGAACUAUGCCUGGACAAAGCGAAGCCAAAGGAAACUCUGGUGGAGGCUUGUAGCGAUUCUGACGUGCAAAUCGAUCGUCUGAUCU
rnacentral:rRNA from 1 species